GACGAACGCUGGCGGCGUGCUUAACACAUGCCAGUCGAACGAAAAGAGGGAAAGAGCUUGCUCUUUCCGGAAUUGAGUGGCAAACGGGUGAGUAACACGUAAACAACCUGCCUUCAGGAUGGGGACAACAGACGGAAACGACUGCUAAUACCGAAUAAGUUCCAAGGGCCGCAUGGCCCAUGGAAGAAAAGGUGGCCUCUACCUGUAAGCUAUCGCCUGAAGAGGGGUUUGCGUCUGAUUAGCUGGUUGGAGGGGUAACGGCCCACCAAGGCGACGAUCAGUAGCCGGUCGGAGAGGAUGAACGGCCACACUGGAAUGGAGACACGGUCCAGACUCCUACGGGGGGCAGCAGUGGGGAAUCUUCCGCAAUGGGCGAAAGCCUGACGGAGCAACGCCGCGUGAGGGAUGACGGCCUUCGGGUUGUAAAACUCUGUGAUCCGGGACGAAAAGGCAGAGUGCGAAGAACAAACUGCAUUGACGGUACCGGAAAAGCAAGCCACGGCUAACUACGUG
rnacentral:rRNA from 1 species